AACACUGUUAACCUGCGGUACCUGCGGAGGGAUCAUUAUAGUAUAUGGAAUCUCCAUUCUAUAAACCCACUCUGCGUAUCUUGUAACUGUUGCUUCCAUGGGACUUGGUUCCGCCACACCGGCUUCACGGCUGGUGAGCGCCCAUGGAAGGAGAAACAAAACUCUUCUUUGAAAUGUAGUCAGUCUGAACAAGUUUUUACAAACGUUAAAACUUUUAACAAUGGAUCUCAGAUCGGAAGA
rnacentral:misc_RNA from 1 species